rnacentral:rRNA from 1 species
AAGCCCUUACGGGGAAAGAUUUAUCGCCGAAAGAUCGGCCCGCGUCUGAUUAGCUAGUUGGUGAGGUAAUGGCUCACCAAGGCGACGAUCAGUAGCUGGUCUGAGAGGAUGAUCAGCCACAUUGGGACUGAGACACGGCCCAAACUCCUACGGGAGGCAGCAGUGGGGAAUAUUGGACAAUGGGGGCAACCCUGAUCCAGCCAUGCCGCGUGAGUGAUGAAGGCCCUAGGGUUGUAAAGCUCUUUUGUGCGGGAAGAUAAUGACGGUACCGCAAGAAUAAGCCCCGGUUAACUUCGUGCCAGCAGCCGCGGUAAUACGAAGGGGGCUAGCGUUGCUCGGAAUCACUGGGCGUAAAGGGUGCGUAGGCGGGUCUUUAAGUCAGGGGUGAAAUCCUGGAGCUCAACUCCAGAACUGCCUUUGAUACUGAAGAUCUUGAGUCCGGGAGAGGUGAGUGGAACUGCGAGUGUAGAGGUGAAAUUCGUAGAUAUUCGCAAGAAACACCAGUGGCGAAGGCGGCUCACUGGGCCCGGUACUGACGCUGAGGCACGAAAGCGUGGGAGCAAACAGGAUUAGAUACCCUGGUAGUCCACGCCGUAAACGAUGAAUGCCAGCCCGUUAGUGGUUUACUCACUAGUGGCGCAGCU